rnacentral:misc_RNA from 1 species
GAAAUGCGAUAAGUAAUGUGAAUUGCAGAAUUCAGUGAACCAUCGAAUCUUUGAACGCACAUUGCGCUCGCCAGUAUUCUGGCGAGCAUGCCUGUUCGAGCGUCAUUUCAACCAUCAAGCUCUGCUUGCGUUGGGGAUCCGCGGCUGCCCGCGGUCCCUCAAAAACAGUGGCGGGCUCGCUAGUCACACCGAGCGUAGUAACUCUACAUCGCUAUGGUCGUGCGGCGGGUUCUUGCCGUAAAACCCCCAAUUUCUAAGGUUGACCUCGGAUCAGGUAGGAAUACCCGCUGAACUUAAGC